rnacentral:rRNA from 1 species
CUACGGGACGCUGCAGUAAGGAAUAUUGCGCAAUGGAGGCAACUCUGACGCAGCCAUGCCGCGUGCAGGAAGAAGGCCUUAUGGGUCGUAAACUGCUUUUAUUUAGGAAUAAACCCUCGCUCGUGAGCGAGGCUGAAGGUACUGAAUGAAUAAGCACCGGCUAACUCCGUGCCAGCAGCCGCGGUAAUACGGAGGGUGCAAGCGUUAUCCGGAUUUAUUGGGUUUAAAGGGGGCGCAGGCGGGCUAUUAAGUCAGUGGUGAAAUCCCGGGGCUCAACUCCGGAACUGCCAUUGAUACUGAUAGUCUUGAGUUUGGUUGAAGUGGGCGGAAUGUAGCAUGUAGCGGUGAAAUGCAUAGAUAUGCUACAGAACACCAAUCGCGAAGGCAGCUCACUAAGCCAAAACUGACGCUCAUGCACGAAAGCGUGGGGAUCAAACAGGAUUAGAUACCCGGGUAGUC